AUUGAACGCUGGCGGCAGGCCUAACACAUGCAAGUCGAACGGUAACAGGGAUCAGCUUGCUGAUUCGCUGACGAGUGGCGGACGGGUGAGUAAUGUCUGGGAAACUGCCUGAUGGAGGGGGAUAACUACUGGAAACGGUAGCUAAUACCGCAUAACGUCGCAAGACCAAAGAGGGGGACCUUCGGGCCUCUUGCCAUCGGAUGUGCCCAGAUGGGAUUAGCUAGUAGGUGGGGUAACGGCUCACCUAGGCGACGAUCCCUAGCUGGUCUGAGAGGAUGACCAGCCACACUAGAACUGAGACACGGUCCAGACUCCUACGGGAGGCAGCAGUGGGGAAUAUUGCACAAUGGGCGCAAGCCUGAUGCAGCCAUGCCGCGUGUAUGAAGAAGGCCUUCGGGUUGUAAAGUACUUUCAGCGGGGAGGAAGGGAGUAAAGUUAAUACCUUGGCUCAUUGACGUUACCCGCAGAAGAAGCACCGGCUAACUCCGUG
rnacentral:rRNA from 1 species